rnacentral:rRNA from 1 species
GACGAACGCUGGCGGCGUGCUUAACACAUGCAAGUCGAACGGAAAGGCCCUGCUUUUGUGGGGUGCUCGAGUGGCGAACGGGUGAGUAACACGUGAGUAACCUGCCCUUGACUUUGGGAUAACUUCAGGAAACUGGGGCUAAUACCGGAUAGGAGCUCCUGCUGCAUGGUGGGGGUUGGAAAGUUUCGGCGGUUGGGGAUGGACUCGCGGCUUAUCAGCUUGUUGGUGGGGUAGUGGCUUACCAAGGCUUUGACGGGUAGCCGGCCUGAGAGGGUGACCGGCCACAUUGGGACUGAGAUACGGCCCAGACUCCUACGGGAGGCAGCAGUGGGGAAUAUUGCACAAUGGGCGGAAGCCUGAUGCAGCAACGCCGCGUGCGGGAUGACGGCCUUCGGGUUGUAAACCGCUUUCGCCUGUGACGAAGCGUGAGUGACGGUAAUGGGUAAAGAAGCACCGGCUAACUACGUGCCAGCAGCCGCGGUGAUACGUAGGGUGCGAGCGUUGUCCGGAUUUAUUGGGCGUAAAGGGCUCGUAGGUGGUUGAUCGCGUCGGAAGUGUAAUCUUGGGGCUUAACCCUGAGCGUGCUUUCGAUACGGGUUGACUUGAGGAAGGUAGGGGAGAAUGGAGUUCCUGGUGGAGCGGUGGAAUGCGCAGAUAUCAGGAGGAACACCAGUGGCGAAGGCGGUUCUCUGGGCCUUUCCUGACGCUGAGGAGCGAAAGCGUGGGGAGCGAACAGGCUUAGAUACCCUGGUAGUCCACGCUGUAAACGGUGGGUACUAGGUGUGGGGUCCAUUCCACGGGUUCCGUGCCGUAGCUAACGCUUUAAGUACCCCGCCUGGGGAGUACGGCCGCAAGGCUAAAACUCAAAGGAAUUGACGGGGCCCCGCACAAGCGGCGGAGCAUGCGGAUUAAUUCGAUGCAACGCGUAGAACCUUACCUGGGUUUGACAUGGAUCGGGAGCGCUCAGAGAUGGGUGUGCCUCUUUUGGGGUCGGUUCACAGGCGGUGCAUGGCUGUCGUCAGCUCGUGUCGUGAGAUGUUGGGUUAAGUCCCGCAACGAGCGCAACCCUUGUUCACUGUUGCCAGCACGUUAUGGUGGGGACUCAGUGGAGACCGCCGGGGUCAACUCGGAGGAAGGUGGGGAUGACGUCAAGUCAUCAUGCCCCUUAUGUCCAGGGCUUCACGCAUGCUACAAUGGCUGGUACAGAGAGUGGCGAGCCUGUGAGGGUGAGCGAAUCUCGGAAAGCCGGUCUCAGUUCGGAUUGGGGUCUGCAACUCGACCUCAUGAAGUCGGAGUCGCUAGUAAUCGCAGAUCAGCAACGCUGCGGUGAAUACGUUCCCGGG